AGCGAACGCUGGCGGCAGGCUUAACACAUGCAAGUCGAGCGGGCAUCCUUGUGGUGUCAGCGGCAGACGGGUGAGUAACGCGUGGGAACGUGCCCUUCGGUUCGGAAUAACUCAGGGAAACUUGAGCUAAUACCGGAUACGUGCGAGAGCAGAAAGGUUUAUCUGCCGAAGGAUCGGCCCGCAUCUGAUUAGCUAGUUGGUGAGGUUACGGCUCACCAAGGCGACGAUCAGUAGCUGGUCUGAGAGGAUGAUCAGCCACACUGGGACUGAGACACGGCCCAGAAUCCUACGGGAGGCAGCAGUGGGGAAUAUUGGACCAUGGGGGCAACCCUGAUGCAGCCAUGCCGCGUGAGUGAUGACGGCCUUAGGGUUGUAAAGCUCUUUUCUCCGGGACGAUAAUGACGGUACCGGAGGAAUAAGCCCCGGCUAACUUCGUG
rnacentral:rRNA from 1 species